rnacentral:rRNA from 1 species
GAUGAACGCUGGCGGCGUGCCUAAUACAUGCAAGUCGAGCGAACAGACGAGGAGCUUGCUCCUCUGACGUUAGCGGCGGACGGGUGAGUAACACGUGGAUAACCUACCUAUAAGACUGGGAUAACUUCGGGAAACCGGAGCUAAUACCGGAUAAUAUAUUGAACCGCAUGGUUCAAUAGUGAAAGACGGUUUUGCUGUCACUUAUAGAUGGAUCCGCGCCGCAUUAGCUAGUUGGUAAGGUAACGGCUUACCAAAGCAACGAUGCGUAGCCGACCUGAGAGGGUGAUCGGCCACACUGGAACUGAGACACGGUCCAGACUCCUACGGGAGGCAGCAGUAGGGAAUCUUCCGCAAUGGGCGAAAGCUUGACGGAGCAACGCCGCGUGAGUGAUGAAGGUCUUCGGAUCGUAAAACUCUGUUAUUAGGGAAGAACAAAUGUGUAAGUAACUAUGCACGUCUUGACGGUACCUAAUCAGAAAGCCACGGCUAACUACGUG